rnacentral:rRNA from 1 species
UACGUAGGGUGCAAGCGUUAAUCGGAAUUACUGGGCGUAAAGCGUGCGCAGGCGGUGAUGUAAGACAGAUGUGAAAUCCCCGGCUCAACCUGGGAACUGCAUUUGUGACUGCAUCGCUGGAGUGCGGCAGAGGGGGAUGGAAUUCCGCGUGUAGCAGUGAAAUGCGUAGAUAUGCGGAGGAACACCGAUGGCGAAGGCAAUCCCUGGGCCUGCACUGACGCUCAUGCACGAAAGCGUGGGGAGCAAACAGG